rnacentral:rRNA from 1 species
GACGAACCGCCCGAACGUUGUUCGGAAUCACUGGGCUUAAAGGGAGCGUAGGCGGGCUGCCAAGUCCGGGGUGAAAUCCUCCAGCUUAACUGGAGAACUGCCUCGGAUACUGGAAGUCUCGAGGAGGGUAGGGGCAAGUGGAACCGUGGGUGGAGCGGUGUAAUGCGUUGAUAUCCAUGGGAACUCCGGUGGCGAAGGCGACUUGCUGGACCCUUUCUGACGCUGAGGCUCGAAAGCCAGGGGAGCAAACGGG